AUGAGUGAAACAAAAGAAGCCGAACAUGAACUGGAAGAAAAAAGAUCUGCGAAAUUGACGGCUAAAGCGCUUGCUAUUAAAAUGGAAACUUUGCAGAAAGAGCGAAAGUCUCAUGUUAACAAGAUUAAAGGGUUAACACGCGAUAUUAAAGAAUUGAUGAAAAAGGAUGACAAUGCAAAAGCUGUGCAGCUUAACUUGGAAAAACUGAAUGAUUUGUAUGAAAAUGCCAAAGCAGUUCAUGAUGCAUUCAUUUUAUUGAUUCCUAAAGAUGAACAAGACGCUCAUAUUGAUUGGUUUGGACGCAUAACAAAAUGUAAUGACGAUUUUGUUGAAGAUGCGAAGCAGUGGCUUAUUGAAGCUGGAAGACCUGUUAUGGAAAAAGGCAAUGAAGUUGAGAAUGUGCCUACUGCUGUUACUUUAGGUUUGCCCGUUUCUGCUGAGACUGUUUUAUCCAAGGAGAUGGUUUCUUCCACAAACGAUAAACAUAACAUCUUAACAUCUCCAAAGCAGGUUAAAACAGAUUCUGACAUACAAGAUGAAAUACAGCCAGAUGACAGUGUUUCAAACGUAGGAAGCAAAAAGAGUAAAAGCAGUUCUUCAAGCUCAAACUCCAGAGCCUCAAGUACAACAUCAGCACGAAUAAUGGCUGAAGCUGAAGCAGCUGCACUGAUGGUAAGGCAAAAACUGCUUAAGGAUAAACACGCCUUGGAGGAACAUGAAGCACAGUUAAGGAGACAGCGAGAGCAACUGGAGCUGGAAACAAAUAUAGCUGCCACGGUAGCAAAAAUGAAAGCACUGGGAGGCUCAAAAGGAUCCAGUAUUAAAAGUAAACUAUCAAAAAUAUCAGACGGUAUGGAGUCAUAUUUUGAAAAGGGACAAAAAGUAACUCAAGUGUUGAAUACUCGUCCUGGUAAUCCUGUACAUGAAAGGCAACAUGUGCAUAUCUUUAAGGAGCAUAAUGUUGCAGACUCACAAUCUCUCUUAACCACAGGCAGAGUUCCAACACAACCACAGACUCUUUCUGAAGAUCCCUUAACAUAUCAGUCAAACAUUAGAAAUUCACAUGAAGAUAAAUAUGUACCUUCUCAAAUUUCUAGUCAUGAAGAAGACUGUAACAUCUUAUCUGUCAUGAGUAAGCAAAAUGAACUCACUGCUUUAUUAAUUCAACAACAUAGUCUUUCUUCAUUACCUAAAAAGGAGAUCCCAGUUUUUGAUGGAGAUCCACUUCAGUACCAGACUUUUAUUAAAUCGUUUGAACACAACAUUGAAAGCAGAAAUAAAAACCCUGGAGACUGUCUUUAUUAUUUGGAACAAUACACAAAGGGUCAACCAAGAGAACUCGUAAGGAGUUGCCUACACAUGACUUCAGAAGCAGGAUUCAGAAAGGCAAAGUCUUUAUUACGGCAGCAUUUUGGUAAUGAACAUAAACUUGCCACGGCUUACGUGAGCAAAGCACUUGCUUGGUCUUCCAUAAAAGCAGAGGACACGAAAGCUCUUCAGGCUUACACAAUAUUUCUUAGAGGCUGUUGCAAUGCUAUGGUGGAUCUCAGUUAUAUGCAGGAGCUAGACAUGCCUGCCAACAUGUUAGCUAUAACAAAGAAACUUCCUUACAGACAGAGAGAUAAGUGGAGAACUGCAGUCAGUGAUUUCCAUGAGAAGUGUAAUCGACAAGCUACAUUUAAGGAUCUUGUUGAUUUUUUGGAAAAACAAGUGAAGAUCGCAUCCGACCCAGUGUUUGGAGACAUUAAGGAUAUCUGCACGACAAACAGAGACACAAGAAAACUUAAGUCUCAAACUCACACAAGAUUCAAAGAAAGUUCUUUUGCUACCUCUGUGAUGGCAUCUGAAAAAGAAAAUAGCAAGGUUAAGGAAAAGGAAAGAACCACACAAAUGAGUUGCUUGUUUUGCAAAGGUGAACAUACCUUAGAAAAUUGUCAAGAGCUGGAAAGAAAAACACAAAAGGACAAAAUCACUUUUCUAAAAGAGAAUGGAAUCUGUUUCGGAUGUCUUUGUAAAGGACAUAUUAGUAGAGACUGCAAAAGGCGCCUCAGUUGUAAGGCAUGUGGUUUAAAGCAUCCUCAAAUGUUACAUAUCUAUCAAAAGACAAUGAGUAAAGAACAAGAAUCAAAGGAACAAACUCAAGAUCGUGCCGUAGUCUCUAUUCAGACCAGUGCUCUUACUGGGGCCGGUAAAGAUGAAUUCAAACUUUCAAUCGUGCCUGUGAAAGUUAAGGCCAAGAAAGGAAAUGUAACAUUGUACACCUAUGCAUUUCUUGACCCAGGCAGUACUGCAUCAUUUUGCACAGUGAAGCUGAUGAAUAAACUGAAAAUGCAUGGAAGAAGAUCCAACAUUCUGCUGAGAACUAUGGGACAAAAUAAAGUUGUUGAAACGGAUGUUAUUGCAGAUUUGGAAGUUGCUGGACUAGACGGGAAUGAGUUUUGUGAUCUUCCCAUUCUUUAUACUCAGUUCACUAUGCCUGUGCAUAAAGGAAACAUUCCUCACCAGAAAGAUAUAAUCCGGUGGCCAUAUUUAAGGUCUGUACAUCUGCCAGAAAUUGACUCUGAAAUUGAUUUGCUAAUUGGCUCGAAUGUGCCAAAGGCUCUGGAACCACUGGAUGUCAUUAGAAGUAUUGGAGAUGGACCGUAUGCUGUUAAAACUGUCCUUGGCUGGAUAGUAAACGGACCUUUGGGUGAGACUCAAACGGAAGCUCACAAUCAGCCACAGAUAAGUGUCAAUAGAGUUUCAGUGGUGAAACUUGAUGAGCUGUGGAAUCAGCAGUUUAAAACUGAUUUUCCAGAGUGUGCCAGAGAUGAGAAGGAACCUUCUAAGGAAGACCAACAGUUUUUAGAUAAAGUUUCCAAUACUGCUAAGCUACAUAAUGGUCAUUAUUAUAUUGGACUCCCAUUGAAAGACUUAAAGGUCUGCAUGCCAGACAAUAAAAGUGUUGCUGAACAACGCCUUCAGAAUCUGAAGAAAAGACUUAUGAAGAACUCUUCUUUUCUGCAGGACUAUAACAGCUUUAUGGCAGAUAUGAUUUCUGAAGGUUAUGCAGAAAAGGUACCAGAGGACAACCUAGAACGGACGGAUGGCAGGAAAUGGUAUUUGCCGCACCAUGGUGUUCUGCAUCCGCAAAAGAAAACCCUUAGAGUGGUGUUUGACUGUGGAGCCAAGUACCAAGGAGUGUCACUAAAUAGCAAGCUCUUACAAGGUCCAGACUUGACCAGCACGUUAAUUGGAGUUCUGACAAGAUUUCGUAAAGAACCUGUUGUCAUUGCUGCAGACAUUAAAGCCAUGUUUCAUCAGGUUAAAAUACCAGAGGAGGAUCGAGAUAUGUUGAGAUUCCUUUGGUGGCCCAACGGAGAUUACACUCAAGCCAUGGUUGAACAUAGGAUGACAGUACAUGUGUUUGGAGCAACAUCAUCUCCCAGUUGUGCAAAUUUUGCACUAAGGAAAUGUGCUGAAGAUCAUAAACAACAGUUUAGCCUUCAAGCCGUGGAUGCAAUGUUGAACAACUUUUACGUCGACGAUUGUCUCGUCUCAGCAGCCACAGAAGAGGAUGCGAUAGAUCUCUAUCAUGAACUCUGUGCCAUAUGCUUGAAAGGAGGCUUUCCAUUGAACAAAUGGAUAAGUAACAGUCGUAAUGUGUUGGCGGUAAUACCUGAAAGUAACAGAGCAAACAAAAUAAAAGAUCUAGACUUGAUCAGUGAUGUGCUUCCAGUGGAAAGAGUUUUGGGCGUUCAAUGGUGUGUUGAGUCUGACGUUUUCAAGUUCAGAAUCACUCUAAGAGAUCGACCUUUGACAAGACGUGGCAUCCUUUCUGUAGUCAGCUCUGUUUAUGACCCUCUAGGAAUGUUGGCACCAGUAAUCUUAAAUGCUAAGAAAAUACUGCAAAAUCUGUGUCGUAAAAAGAUUGGAUGGGAUGAUGCAUUACCCGAUACAGUUAUGCAGGAAUGGACUAUUUGGAUGCAAGAGCUCUACAAGCUGGAGGAGUUUAAGGUUGAUCGUUGUUUUAAAACCAACAGUUUUGGAACUGUAAAAACUGCUCAGUUACAUCAUUUUGCAGAUGCAUCCGAGGAUAGCUAUGGAACAGUAACUUAUUUGUUACUAAAGAACGAACGAGACCAGGCACACUGUGCAUUCAUUAUGGGGAAGGCACGUGUUGCUCCUUUAAAACCAGUUACAAUCCCUCGAAUGGAGUUAACUGCUGCCACCUUAGCAAGCAGAAUGGAUGUAAUGUGGAAGAAGGAGCUGCAGAUGGAACUGAAGGACUCAGUAUUUUGGACUGACAGCACCUCUGUACUAAAAUACAUCAACAAUGAAACAACAAGGUUCCGCACUUUCGUUGCCAACAGAGUUUCAGAGAUUGUCAAAGUUUCAAAUGCUCAACAAUGGAGAUAUGUGGACACGGAUAACAAUCCAGCAGAUUUGGCUUCUCGAGGUUUAACGGUACAAUCCUUUUUGAAAAAUAAACAAACUUGGCUCUCUGGACCUCCAUUUCUUCUACUACCACAAGAGGAGUGGCCUCAGAAUCCUGAUGAAGUGAACCAAAUCUCAUCAAACGAUGCAGAAAUUAAGGCAACAGUGAAUGCCGUUCAGACGUCACAAGAAAUGGAUCCGGUUUCUCACUUCAUUCAAUAUUUUUCAUCCUGGACUCAGUUGAAGCGUGCAGUGGCAUGGAUUCUGAGAGUUAAAAAACUGCUGCUGCAUUACAGUAGAAGAAAACAACAAAAACAACACGAUCCUGAUCAAAAUCUUGAACUUCAAUCGAAGAGACACUGUCUGGACACCAGCAGUCUCAAAGUUGAGGAGCUGAUUAGCGCUGAAAUGGCUAUAAUCUCCUUUUGUCAAAGGAAGCGAUUUGCUGAUGAAAUCUCCUGUUUAACAAAAGGAUCGAAUGUUAAGAGAACCAGUCACAUUUAUAAACUUACUCCCAUCCUGGAAGAAGGUGUGUUGAGAGUUGGUGGACGACUCAGUAGAACUGCAAUGCCAGAAGAGAGAAAACAUCCUGUUAUUCUGGCCAAAGACUUCCACAUUUCUAACCUAAUCCUUCAACAUGUCCAUGAAGCGGUGGGUCAUGGAGGUCGUAACCACAUGUUAUCUAAACUGCGUCAAAAAUACUGGAUUCCAGGUGUCACAGUACCUAUAAGAAAAAUUGUGGCUAAAUGCGUUGUGUGUCGGCGCGUAAAUGCCCCACCAGGACAACAGCAAAUGGCAGACCUGCCCCUACACAGAGUAACUCCUGAUGAACCACCAUUCACGUAUGUUGGAGUGGACUAUUUUGAACCGUUUCUAGUGAAACGUGGAAGGACUACUGUAAAAUGCUAUGGUGUGAUAUUCACAUGUUUAGCGUCAAGAGCCAUUCAUAUUGAAAUGGCAUCAUCACUGGACACAGACUCUUUUAUCAAUGCCCUUCGUCACUUUAUUGCCAGACGUGGUCAAGUAAAAGAACUGCGAUCUGACAACGGCACCAACUUUGUGGGAGCCCAUCGUGAGCUGAAGGAAAUGAUAGCGGAUUGGAAUCAACAUCGUAUACACAAUACCCUCCUUCAAAAAGGCAUUAAAUGGACUUUCCAUCCCCCAGCUGGCUCACAUUUUGGAGGUGUA
rnacentral:lncRNA from 1 species